rnacentral:rRNA from 1 species
UACGGAGGAUGCGAGCGUUAUCCGGAUUUAUUGGGUUUAAAGGGUGCGUAGGCGGCCUGCCAAGUCAGCGGUAAAAUUGCGGGGCUCAACCCCGUACAGCCGUUGAAACUGCCGGGCUCGAGUGGGCGAGAAGUAUGCGGAAUGCGUGGUGUAGCGGUGAAAUGCAUAGAUAUCACGCAGAACCCCGAUUGCGAAGGCAGCAUACCGGCGCCCGACUGACGCUGAGGCACGAAAGUGCGGGGAUUAAACAGG